rnacentral:rRNA from 1 species
UACGGGGGGAGCAAGCGUUGUUCGGAUUUACUGGGCGUAAAGGGCGCGUAGGCGGCCUGUGCAAGCCAGUUGUGAAAUCUCCGAGCUUAACUCGGAACGGUCAACUGAUACUGCUCGGCUAGAGUGCGGAAGGGGCAACUGGAAUUCUUGGUGUAGCGGUGAAAUGCGUAGAUAUCAGGAGGAACACCGGUGGCGAAGGCGGAUCUCUGGGCCGUAACUGACGCUGAGGAGCGAAAGCAUGGGGAGCGAACAGG